UUCCUCCCCACGAGCUGCUGCUCCUCCUUAGCUCCAUCGCCGGCCAUGGCCAUGGAAAGCGACCAAGAUGGAGCUCCCCUCCUCCCUCAAGCUUCCCCUCACCAUGAGAGCAUCUCUCUCCCUCUCUUCUCCCCUAAUAUUUGAUGAGUCUAGCUCACUUUCUCCUUUCUCCUCUCACUAGAUUGGAUCUUGAUGCAGGUGCAUGUUGGUCCAAGCAUGGAGAAGGUUGAGCUAUCCUCAGAUCUGAAGUUCUUGAGCAAAAUCCAAAUCGAGUGAUUCAAAGUUCCACAGAUAGGUAUUGAAAAGAUCUACAACUUGGCGUUGGUCUCAUCCUCAAAUUCUUUACGGAUUAUGCAUGAUCUAGAUCUGGUCAGAUCUGACUUUGUCGAAUUAAACCAGGAGCUUGGAAACGAAUUUUUGAAUGAAACCAAUCGGAUGCGAACAAUUCCGGAGAAGAAGAAGAAGUGGAAUCGGAUGAGAAGAUUAUUUAUAUUGUUGGAAUUCUUAUAUUGAUGGAGUUGAAGAAGUACAGGGACAAAUAAGCCAAG